GCCCCCAUCGUCUAGGGGACUAGGACGCAGCCCUUUCAAGGCUAAAACGAGGGUUCGAAUCCCUCUGGGGGCA
rnacentral:tRNA from 1 species